rnacentral:rRNA from 1 species
UUGAACGCUGGCGGCAGGCCUAACACAUGCAAGUCGAGCGGCAGCGGGAAAGUAGCUUGCUACUUUUGCCGGCGAGCGGCGGACGGGUGAGUAAUGCCUGGGAAAUUGCCCAGUCGAGGGGGAUAACAGUUGGAAACGACUGCUAAUACCGCAUACGCCCUACGGGGGAAAGCAGGGGACCUUCGGGCCUUGCGCGAUUGGAUAUGCCCAGGUGGGAUUAGCUUGUUGGUGAGGUAAUGGCUCACCAAGGCGACGAUCCCUAGCUGGUCUGAGAGGAUGAUCAGCCACACUGGAACUGACACACGGUCCAGACUCCUACGGGAGGCAGCAGUGGGGAAUAUUGCACAAUGGGGGAAACCCUGAUGCAGCCAUGCCGCGUGUGUGAAGAAGGCCUUCGGGUUGUAAAGCACUUUCAGCGAGGAGGAAAGGUUGAUACCUAAUACGUAUCAGCUGUGACGUUACUCGCAGAAGAAGCACCGGCUAACUCCGUGCCAGCAGCCGCGGUAAUACGGAGGGUGCAAGCGUUAAUCGGAAUUACUGGGCG